GAGGGGAGCCUGAGAAACGGCUACCACUUCCAAGGAAGGCAGCAGGCGCGCAAAUUACCCAAUCCAGACAUUGGGAGGUAGCGACGAGAAAUACCAAGGACAGUCUUUUGAUUGUUUAUUGGAAUGGACAUAAUGUAAAUACUUUGAUGAGUAACAACUGGAGGGCAAGUCUGGUGCCAGCAGCCGCGGUAAUUCCAGCUCCAGUAGUGUAUAUCAAAAUUGUUGCGUUUAAAACGCUCGUAGUCGGAUGACAAGUAUGCCCGAUGUUGCCGUUGAGUUUGUCCUGCCCUAAAGCAGGCAUCGAAAGCGGUGAUGUUAUGGUGUACUUUAAUCGCAAACUCCAGUUAUGGGCUUAACUGCUUGUGGCUGGUCGGUUGCGAGGCGUGCCUUGAAUAAAGCAGAGUGCUCAAAGCAAGCGUAACGCUGGUAUGUAAUAGCAUGGAACGAUGAGUAAAGAGUGUCACCUUAGCUGCAUGUACCGGGCAACCGGUAUGUGUGGUUCUAUUCAGUUGGUUGGUGCGGUUGGUGGUCUACUAAUGCACUUGUGUAUUUGUAGAAUGCCGACUAACGCGUAAAAAGUUGGAUUUAUUCAACUUUUGACGCGGUCCUGAAGUGGGUGAUGGUUAAAAGGGACAUUUGAGGGCGUUAGUACUUGCUGGCGAGAGGUGAAAUUCUUAGACCCAGCAAAGACUGACUAAUGCGAAAGCAUUCGCCAAGAGUGUUUUCAUUGAUCAAGAACGAAAGUUGGAGGUUCGAAGACGAUCAGAUACCGUCCUAGUUCCAACAGUAAACGAUGCCAACACGGGAUCAGGUCGAAACAGAUUCAGGUUGGUCCCCCAGUGAAAACUCAAGUCUUCUGGUUAUGGGGAGAGUACGGACGCAAGUUUGAAAUUUAAAAGAAUUGACGGAAUGGCACCACAAGGAGUGGAGCCUGCGGCUUAAUUUGACUCAACACGGGGCAACUUACCAGGUCCGGACAUCGGAAGGAUUGACAGACUGAUAGAUCUUUCAUGAUUUGAUGAUUGGUGGUGCAUGGCCGUUCUUAGUUGGUGGAGUGAUCUGUCAGGUUGAUUCCGGUAACGAGCGAGACCACGGUGUCUAGUUAAUGGCAAUGGCCGUGAAUGCGGUCAUUGAUUGUAGACAGACAACCGGAUUUAAGCCGGGGGAAGCGUGGCAAUAACAGGUCUGUGAUGCCCUUCGAUGUUCUGGGCUGCACGCGCGCUACAAUGGCAACGACAGAAAGCGAAUAAAUGAGUUGCAUCGAGAGAUGUGACGAAUCAGCAAUCGUUGUCGUGAUUGGGAUUGAGCGUUGUAAUAUUUGCUCAUGAAAGAGGAAUUCCUCGUAAGCGCGAGUCACCAACUCGUGUUGAAUACGUCUCUGCCCUUUGUACACACCGCC
rnacentral:rRNA from 1 species